rnacentral:rRNA from 1 species
AUUGAACGCUGGCGGCAGGCCUCACACAUGCAAGUCGAACGAGUGGCGGACGGGUGAGUAAUGUCUGGGAAACUGCCUGAUGGAGGGGGAUAACUACUGGAAACGGUAGCUAAUACCGCAUACCAUCAGAUGUGCCCAGAUGGGAUUAGCUUGUUGGUGGGGUACAGGCUAACCAAGGCGACGAUCCCUAGCUGGUCUGCGAGGAUGACCAGCCACACUGUACCUGAGACACGGUCCAGCCUCCUACGGGAGGCAGCAUUGGGGAAUAUUGCACAAUGGGCGCAAGCCUGAUGCAGCCAUGCCGCUUGUAUGAAGAAGGCCUUCGGGUUGUAAAGUACUUUCAGCGGGGAGGCGUUACCCGCAGAAGAAGCACCGGCUAACGCCGUGCCAGCCGCCGCGGUAAUUC